rnacentral:rRNA from 1 species
ACGAACGCUGGCGGCGUGGAUAAGACAUGCAAGUCGAACGGGAGAAUUGCUAGCUUGCUAAUAAUUCUCUAGUGGCGCACGGGUGAGUAACACGUGAGUAACCUGCCUCUUAGUGGGGGAUAGCCCUGGGAAACCGGGAUUAAUACCGCAUACGAUUGAAAGAUCAAAGCAGCAAUGCGCUAGGAGAUGGGCUCGCGGCCUAUUAGUUAGUUGGUGAGGUAACGGCUCACCAAGGCGAUGACGGGUAGCCGGUCUGAGAGGAUGUCCGGCCACACUGGAACUGAGACACGGUCCAGACACCUACGGGUGGCAGCAGUCGAGAAUCAUUCACAAUGGGGGCAACCCUGAUGGUGCGACGCCGCGUGGGGGAAUGAAGGUCUUCGGAUUGUAAACCCCUGUCAUGUGGGAGCAAAUUAAAAAGAUAGUACCACAAGAGGAAGAGACGGCUAACUCUGUGCCAGCAGCCGCGGUAAUACAGAGGUCUCAAGCGUUGUUCGGAAUCACUGGGCGUAAAGCGUGCGUAGGCUGUUUCGUAAGUCGUGUGUGAAAGGCAGGGGCUCAACCCCUGGAUUGCACAUGAUACUGCGAGACUAGAGUAAUGGAGGGGGAACCGGAAUUCUCGGUGUAGCAGUGAAAUGCGUAGAUAUCGAGAGGAACACUCGUGGCGAAGGCGGGUUCCUGGACAUUAACUGACGCUGAGGCACGAAGGCCAGGGGAGCGAAAGGGAUUAGAUACCCCUGUAGUCCUGGCAGUAAACGGUGCACGCUUGGUGUGCGGGGAAUCGACCCCCUGCGUGCCGGAGCUAACGCGUUAAGCGUGCCGCCUGGGGAGUACGGUCGCAAGAUUAAAACUCAAAGAAAUUGACGGGGACCCGCACAAGCGGUGGAGUAUGUGGCUUAAUUCGAUGCAACGCGAAGAACCUUACCUGGGCUUGACAUGUAAUGAACAACAUGUGAAAGCAUGCGACUCUUCGGAGGCGUUACACAGGUGCUGCAUGGCCGUCGUCAGCUCGUGUCGUGAGAUGUUUGGUUAAGUCCAGCAACGAGCGCAACCCCUGUUGCCAGUUACCAGCACGUCAAGGUGGGGACUCUGGCGAGACUGCCCAGAUCAACUGGGAGGAAGGUGGGGGCGACGUCAGGUCAGUAUGGCCCUUAUGCCCAGGGCUGCACACGUACUACAAUGCCCAGUACAGAGGGGGCCGAAGCCGCGAGGCGGAGGAAAUCCUGAAAACUGGGCCCAGUUCGGACUGUAGGCUGCAACCCGCCUACACGAAGCCGGAAUCGCUAGUAAUGGCGCAUCAGCUACGGCGCCGUGAAUACGUUCCCGGGUCUUGUACACACCGCCCGUCACAUCAUGGAAGCCGGUCGCACCCGAAGUAUCUGAAGCCAACCGCAAGGAGGCAGGGUCCUAAGGUGAGACUGGUAACUGGGAUG